AUACGAAGGGUGCAAGCGUUACUCGGAAUUACUGGGCGUAAAGCGUGCGUAGGUGGUUGUUUAAGUCUGUCGUGAAAGCCCUGGGCUCAACCUGGGAAUGGCGAUGGAAACUGGGCGACUAGAGUGUGGCAGAGGGUAGUGGAAUUCCUGGUGUAGCAGUGAAAUGCGUAGAGAUCAGGAGGAACAUCCGUGGCGAAGGCGACUGCCUGGGCCAACACUGACACUGAGGCACGAAAGCGUGGGGAGCAAACAGGAUUAGAUACCCUGGUAGUCCACGCCCUAAACGAUGCGAACUGGAUGUUGGGUGCAAUUUGGCACGCAGUAUCGAAGCUAACGCGUUAAGUUCGCCGCCUGGGGAGUACGGUCGCAAGACUGAAACUCAAAGGAAUUGGCGGGG
rnacentral:rRNA from 1 species